rnacentral:rRNA from 1 species
UACGUAGGGGGCUAGCGUUGCUCGGAAUCACUGGGCGUAAAGCGCACGUAGGCGGCUUGUUAAGUCAGGGGUGAAAUCCUGGAGCUCAACUCCAGAACUGCCUUUGAUACUGACGAUCUCGAGUCCGGGAGAGGUGAGUGGAACUGCGAGUGUAGAGGUGAAAUUCGUAGAUAUUCGCAAGAACACCAGUGGCGAAGGCGGCUCACUGGCCCGGUACUGACGCUGAGGUGCGAAAGCGUGGGGAGCAAACAGG